GACAGAGGGGGCAAGCGUUGCUCGGAAUCACUGGGCGUAAAGGGCGCGUAGGCGGGAUGGCAAGUCGGUCGUGAAAUCCUUCGGCUCAACCGAAGAACGUCGGCCGAUACUGCCGUUCUUGAGGGAUGCAGAGGAGAUUGGAAUUCCCGGUGUAGCGGUGAAAUGUGUAGAGUGAUCGGGAGGAACACCGGUGGGCGAAGGCGGGUCUCUGGGCGAUCGUCCUGACGCUGAGGCGACGAAAGGCGUGGGGAGCGAACAGG
rnacentral:rRNA from 1 species